rnacentral:misc_RNA from 1 species
GUGAAUUUUAGGGUGCUCUUCUCCUUCUUAACAAAGGGAAGAGGCCUGACCUCCACUCUCCAACACUGUGCACUUAUUGGCAUUAGGAACAACGGCUUUGAGAACGCAAGUUCGAUUAGCUGGAAUUCCUUUUGCGGCUUUAUUUCUUAACACUAGUCAAAGAAUGUAAACAAAACCAUAACAAAAAA